GUCUAGGAGGACUUAUGUGAACCAUGAGUGCGGCGCAGGGCACAGACUAAUGCCAAUUCUGAGUAACUCACUCCUUUUUCAGGAAUGAGUGCAGAGGAAAAUAAAUGGACUUUUCAGGCUUUGCCAUCUAUUACAGAAAAACAAAAGUAGUAUUGUUACUGAAACACGAGGGAUUCAGUCUAGGGCCUGCUGCUCGCUUCACAGAAAGCCAUUGACUGAGGUCAUGAGUAUUGGCAAGGAAGGAUUUAACCAGGUGCUGCAGCCAAGAAGAUGGGAGCUCAGCCUCAAAUCCAUCUCCAUGACCAAGUAAAACUGCAGGCUUAUACAGCUGGGAAGAUGUGUAAGAAAUGUGUAAGAAAACAGGAACUGGGGAGGGGCAGGGAAGCAAUCAUGAGGAGUGAGAGGCCUGGCAUCUCAUUGUCUGGAUGUGGUGAUCUGCAGUGUUUUGUAAUACUCAACGUAGAGAUAUUUCACCUUCAAGAGAGUCUGCGGGAGGGAGCACAGCUGACGGGAGCUCUGAUGCUUCCUCUCUGGCACCAACACUGCUUUUGCACAGAGCCCAGACACUUCCCCAGCAGUUCCCAGUCAGCAACUGAAAUAGCCAAGGGUGCUACUGUGCACCAGUCUGGAGCUGCUCUCCAGUGGGCCAUUUUUGUUUGGGGUGCCAGCCCUCCUUCUUGGCUGUGAAGUUCUCUCUGCCUAUUCCUGCUCCUUCCCUCUUUGUCUUUCACAGUCUUAUCCCCAUAAACUUCUCACCAGUCUCACUCUGCUUGGUAUUUGCUUUUCAGAAGAAUGAACAAAUACAUCAGAUUUUUGCUUCUGUGUAGCAUGAUUUGAACGUAAGGAAAACAAACAAACAUAGUUCUUGUUGAGAUAUCUAAUGGACAAACUAUUAUUAAUACUAUAAUAGCCAAUUCUAAUAUUUAAGUAUCUUAGCAUAAUUAAUGAAGAUUUUAGAAACACAUUGCUUGGUAAAUUGUAAAGUGUCCUAGAGAUCUGAGAAAUCAAUAUCCGUAUUUUAAUGAAAAUAUGGUCAUUUGUAAAAACAAAAAUGAUUAGGUAUUACUCUUUUGUUGCUUUCUAUUUUACUUAUUUACUUAUUUUUACUGGCAAGUUACAAUUGUAUACAUUUAUGGGGUACAAUGUGAUAUAUAUAUAUAUAUAUAUAUACACACACACACACACACACAUACAAGCAAGGUGGCAUGAUUAAAUUGAGUUAAUUAUCAUUCAUAACUUCACUAACCUAUCAUGGGGAGACAUCUGAAAAUUUAUGAUGAGACAUUUGAAAUUUUCUUUUAGUUAUUUUAAAAUAUUUAAUACAUUAUUUACUAUAGUAACUUUGCUGUGCAAUAAAUCUCAAAAUCUAUCACUCUUGUCUACAUAUAACUUUGUACCUUCUGAUAAGCACACUCCAUUUCCUCUUUCCACCACUAGCAUCUAGUAACCAUCAUUCUAGUACCUAGUUCUAUGAGUUCAACUUUAUUAGAUUCCACAUAUAAGUAAGAUCAUACAGUAUAUGUCUUUCUGUGUCUAGUUUAUUUCAUUUAGUACAAUGUUGUUCAAAUUCAUCAAUUUUGUUGCAAACAAUGGGACACUCUGCAAUUUUCAAGGCUGAAUAAUAUUGCUUUGUGUACAUAUGCCACAUUUUCUAUAUCCAUUCAUGCAUUGAUGGACACUUAGGUAGUUUCCAUAUUUUUUUAUACUUUAAGUUCUGGGGUACAUGUGCAGAAUGCGCAGGUUUGUUACAUAGGUAUACACGUGCCUUGGUGGUUUGCUGCACCCAUCAAUCUGUCAUCUGCAUUAGGUAUUUCUCCUAAUGCUAUCCCUCCCCAAGCCCCCAACCCCCCAACAGGCCUUGUGUGAUGUUCCCCUCCCUGUGUCCAUGUGUUUUUAUUGUUCUACUCUCACUUAUGAGUGAGAACAGGCGACAUUUGGUUUUCUGUUCCUAUGUUAGUUUGUUGACAAUGAUGGUGUCCAGCGUCAUCCGUGUCUCUGCAAAGGACAUGAACUCAUCCAUUUUUUAUGGCUGCAUAGUAUUCCAUGUGUAUAUGUGUGACAUUUUCUUUAUCCAGUCUAUCAUUGAUGGGCAUUUAUGUUGGCUCCAAGUCUUUGUUAUUGUGAACAGUGCCACAAUAAACAUAUGUGUGCAUGAGUCUUUAUAGUAGAAUGAUUUAUGAUCCUUUGGGUAUAUACUCAGUAAUGGGAUUGCUGGGUCAAGUGGUAUUUCUGGUUCUGUAUCCCUGAGGAAUUGUUACACUAUCUUCCACAAUGGUUGAACUAAUUUACACUCCCACCAACUAUGUACAAGUGUUCCUAUUUCUCCUGUUGUGAAUAGUGCUGCAAUGAACAAGAGAGUGCAGAUAUCCCUUGGACAUAUUAAUUUGAAGAAAAGGUUAACAAAUCACACCUCUUAUAAGGGAUUAAAGGGUGCUGUGCCAGAUGACUUUAGUCUCAGUUACUUGGGAUACUGAGGCAGGGGGAUCCCUGGAGCCCAGCUUGAGUUAAAGUCUAGCUUGGACAACAUAGCAAGGCAUCAUCUAUUUUUUAAAAAGUAUAUAUAUACACACACACACACAUACACACACACAUAUAUACACACACACACACACACACAUAUAUAUACAUAAACACACAACUCAAUAGCAAGAAAAAAAUAAACAGAUGAAAAAAUGGGCCAAGGACCGAAACAGUCACUUCUCAAAAGAAGACAUACAAACGGCCAAAAGGUACAUGAAAAAAUGCUUAGCACACUAUUCAUUAGGGCAACACAAAUUAAAACCACAAUGAGAUGAAAUAUCACUUCACACCUGUUAAAGUAGAUUUUAUUAAAAAGAUGAAAUACAACAGUGAUGAAGGGGAAGCUGAAAAAACAGAACUCUUUUACAUCAUUGGUGAGAAUGUAAGUUAGUAUGUCCAUUAUGGCAAAUAGUUGGAAGUUCCUCAAAAAACUAAAAACAAAACUACUGUGUGACCCAGUUAUCAAUCGUGCUUCUGAGUAUAUACCCAGGAUUUAACCCCUUAAUGUAAUUUACUUCUUCUAAAAACAGUUUAUCUCUUGGUAACUUGAGGAUGUAUGAAGAUCAAAUGAAAUGGUAUGAAGCGGAGAUCAGCUGGGUGGAGUCAGGAGAGUGGUGUCUUGGCAAUGACGUUCCUCUGGGCUUUGAAAACAUGUCAAGUCAUCCAUCAAAUUAAAGCCUCAGUAAGGGUGGCAGUUCAGAAGCUGUCUUCGUGGCCUUCGAGUCACUAGAUUUCAGAAAUCAAUGCGUAGUGUCUAGGUGCUAACCAUGCUCAUCCUCAUGCCAUGCGAGUAUUCAGGCCCAUCUGCAUGAGGGAGACCUAGAAUACAUACUACAAACAAGAUUCAGAUAAGACGUCACAAAAAUAAAAAGAGAAUCACCUCACUUAGUUCCAGGAAUGCAGAAAAUAAAUGUUGCUACUUCAGGAACUGUUCCUUUCUUUAAUAAUAUAAAUUUAUGUAUAUAAAAUGGAGGAUGGAUUAUUUGUUAUAUGUCAUGUCACACUGCCGUUCCUUAUUCAUCCCUCAUUCCUUGGAAGUAAUAUUAUUUGCACCCCCUAUAUAUCUAAAUUACUACUACUUACUAGUAGUAAAAUAUUAUUUGCUCCCCUUACACAACUAAGACAUUGUUUGCUAUUUGCUCCCACUAUACAUCUAAAUUACUACUACUUAGACACUAAGCAGGAUUGGUUUCAUGGUCUUUGAAAUGGCAACCUCGUGUAGAAUUCAUCUGGUCAAGUUUACUGAGUAGGGCUACAAUUCAGGAUGGAAAAGAAAAGCCACGAGAAACAUGCCCUGCAACUAACAAUGCUCUGUCAGCUUCUCCAAAUAUUACAGCAAAUGAGUUACAAAGGAAAAAAUACUUUAUAAAAAUAGCAAGUUACUCAUUCAGCAUCUAAAUUAGUGUACAGCAAAGGAGUUCAUGCAACUUUCCGAGUUUAUUUGGUAAGUAUAAAGUAAUUUUGGAUGACAGACAUCUAUUUGCCUUGAUAUAUCACUAUAAUUAUGAGCUUACAUUUUAAAGUAUAUGGCAGUGAAUUUUGAAAAACACAAAAUUUAUAGAUAGACACCUAGUGAGAAGUCACAGGGGAC
rnacentral:lncRNA from 1 species